CUGUGCAGGCCCUUCCGCUCCCCUGCCCCCAGGCCAAUUAGUUCCUGGGGGCAGGGGAGCACACAAAACUUUCUCCUGCCCUGGGAGGAGCAUGCGGCACUUCAAAGUGCUAUGUGCUCCUCCAAGGGCUGGAGAAGACAUC